rnacentral:rRNA from 1 species
CCUACGGGAGGCAGCAGUGAGGAAUAUUGGACAAUGGGUGAGAGCCUGAUCCAGCCAUCCCGCGUGAAGGAUGACGGUCCUACGGAUUGUAAACUUCUUUUGUAUAGGGAUAAACCUCUCUACGUGUAGAGAGCUGAAGGUACUAUACGAAUAAGCACCGGCUAACUCCGUGCCAGCAGCCGCGGUAA